UAGGGAAUCUUCGGCAAUGGGGGCAACCCUGACCGAGCAACGCCGCGUGAGUGAAGAAGGUCUUCGGAUCGUAAAGCUCUGUUGUAAGAGAAGAACGUGUGUGAGAGUGGAAAGUUCACACAGUGACGGUAACUUACCAGAAAGGGACGGCUAACUACGUGCCAGCAGCCGCGGUAAUACGUAGGUCCCGAGCGUUGUCCGGAUUUAUUGGGCGUAAAGCGAGCGCAGGCGGUUUAAUAAGUCUGAAGUUAAAGGCAGUGGCUUAACCAUUGUUCGCUUUGGAAACUGUUAAACUUGAGUGCAGAAGGGGAGAGUGGAAUUCCAUGUGUAGCGGUGAAAUGCGUAGAUAUAUGGAGGAACACCGGUGGCGAAAGCGGCUCUCUGGUCUGUAACUGACGCUGAGGCUCGAAAGCGUGGGGAGCAAACAGGAUUAGAUACCCUGGUAGUCCACGCCGUAAACGAUGAGUGCUAGGUGUUAGGCCCUUUCCGGGGCUUAGUGCCGCAGCUAACGCAUUAAGCACUCCGCCUGGGGGAGUACGACCGCAAGGUUGAAACUUAAGGGAAUUGACGGGGGUCAUAGCUGUUUCCUG
rnacentral:rRNA from 1 species